UACGUAGGGGGCGAGCGUUGUCCGGAAUCAUUGGGCGUAAAGAGCGUGUAGGCGGGCCGGAAGGUCUGGUGUGAAAGCCCGGGGCUCAACCCCGGAGGGUCACUGGAAACCAACGGUCUUGAAUCUGGAAGAGGAGAGUGGAAUUCCUGGUGUAGCGGUGGAAUGCGCAGAUAUCAGGAGGAACACCAAUGGCGAAGGCAGCUCUCUGGUACAUGAUUGACGCUGAGACGCGAAAGCGUGGGGAGCGAACAGG
rnacentral:rRNA from 1 species